rnacentral:rRNA from 1 species
AAAUUGAAGAGUUUGAUCAUGGCUCAGAUUGAACGCUGGCGGCAGGCCUAACACAUGCAAGUCGAACGGUAACAGGAAGCAGCUUGCUGCUUUGCUGACGAGUGGCGGACGGGUGAGUAAUGUCUGGGAAACUGCCUGAUGGAGGGGGAUAACUACUGGAAACGGUAGCUAAUACCGCAUAACGUCGCAAGACCAAAGAGGGGGACCUUCGGGCCUCUUGCCAUCGGAUGUGCCCAGAUGGGAUUAGCUUGUUGGUGGGGUAACGGCUCACCAAGGCGACGAUCCCUAGCUGGUCUGAGAGGAUGACCAGCCACACUGGAACUGAGACACGGUCCAGACUCCUACGGGAGGCAGCAGUGGGGAAUAUUGCACAAUGGGCGCAAGCCUGAUGCAGCCAUGCCGCGUGUAUGAAGAAGGCCUUCGGGUUGUAAAGUACUUUCAGCGGGGAGGAAGGGAGUAAAGUUAAUACCUUUACUCAUUGACGUUACCCGCAGAAGAAGCACCGGCUAACUCCGUGCCAGCAGCCGCGGUAAUACGGAGGGUGCAAGCGUUAAUCGGAAUUACUGGGCGUAAAGCGCACGCAGGCGGUUUGUUAAGUCAGAUGUGAAAUCCC